CACCUUGGUUCCUGCGCUGAAGCACUGUGGGAGGAGUACUAUAAUGCUGCUGGCAGUAAUAAUCCGCCACAUCUUCGGCCUGGAGGCUGCUGAUGGUGAGGGUGAAGUCUGUCCCAGACCCACUGCCGCUGAACCGGUCUGGGAUGCCAGUGGCCCUGUUGGAUGCACUAUAGAUGAGGAGCCUGGGAACCUGCCCAGGUUUUUGCUGGUACCAGGCUACGUAGCUGCUCACACUCUGACUGGCCCUGCAGUUGAUGGUGACCCGUUGACCUAGAGACACAGCCACGGAGCCUGGAGACUGAGUCAUUGUGAUCUCCCCACAGGC